GAUGAAGAACGCAGCGAAAUGCGAUAAGUAAUGCGAAUUGCAGAAUUUCCGUGAGUCAUCGAAUCUUUGAACGCACAUUGCGCCCCUUGGUAUUCCAUGGGGCAUGCCUGUUCGAGCGUCAUUUGUACUCUCAAGCUCUGCUUGGUGUUGGGUGUUUGUCCUCUCCUUUUGCGUUUGGACUCGCCUUAAAACAAUUGGCAGCCAGUGUUUUGGUAUUGAAGCGCAGCACAAUUUGCGAUUUAAGCCCAUGAAUACUAGCGACCAGUAAGCAUUUUUAUAACGCUUGACCUCGGAUCAGGUAGGGAUACCCGCUGAACUUAAGCAUAUCAAUAAGCGGAGGA
rnacentral:misc_RNA from 1 species